AACAACAUGAAAAAAUCCAAGGUGUUCUAUGACACGGAAUCUGAGAGAGUCCACCUGAAUCAGCUCAAUGCUGAUACUACCGACGAUUCCGUGUGAACCCUAUUUUUCCAAUGUACUAUUUUUUCAUUCAGAAUAAAACAAAACAAAAUUGAAACUUUUCUUGCAUAAAAACUUCGAUGCAACCUUCAAUAGGAAAGCUUGAAACUGGAUGACCUUGUGACGGUAUAUGAGUAAUUCAUAUUUCGCUCACUCGCGCCGGUACUGUAUGGAAAACAUGAACUAACUUAAAGAAUCUUUAGCAAGAAAAGAUAUCUGAGUAAGUGAAUAACAAAAUUCACAUGAGAUGAGAAAAAAAGGAAAAAUAGUGUUUGCAGAAGCAUCUUGGCUCCAAUGGAAAUUAUAGCCGCAUAUUUCAGGGUCUCUAGGUGUACUGUUAUAACAAAGGCCUGGGUCGAGGCACGUUUUGAAGACUCCGAGUAGACUGUACACAAUUCCGUAUGGAAAAAAACUUUCAACUGAUUCAGAAGUUUGAUGUUUGUAAUGAAUGUUUUUCUUUCUUUUAUCUCGCGAUGAGUGCGCCGUAUUCUACGUUGGGGAAGCACCUUAGGUCCCUGUGCUUCACGCCGUAGACACCGAGUCCUCUAGAUCUGAUAGGAACUGUAACUCUAGAUCCUGCAUAUACUGUGUAGUUGGGUAUUUCGCGUGCGUUUAUAUUUCGUUUUUAGCUGAUUUUUUUUGUAUCUCUUAACCCUGUAAGUUAGUAAAGAAAUUGUUCUCGUACAUCUGUUAUCUAUUUUAAGAAAAUGAUGUCAAUUUUAAUGUCUGCAUUCGGAACACCUCUACACAGUACGGCAGUAAACUUUAUAAUAUCCUUUUCCUGUUUAUUAACGGAGGAGUUCAUUGAUGUGUGUAAAUGAGAUGUUUCGGUUUAGAAAAAAAAAAUCGUUCAUUAUGCUGUAAAUUUUUAUUGUAACUUAGGUGUUGUUGAAAUAAAGAAGUCUUUU
rnacentral:misc_RNA from 1 species